ACGGAAGGCAGCAGUGGGGAAUAUUGCACAAUGGGCGAAAGCCUGAUGCAGCGACGCCGCGUGAGUGAAGAAGUAUCUCGGUAUGUAAAGCUCUAUCAGCAGGGAAGAAAAUGACGGUACCUGCCUAAGAAGCCCCGGCUAACUACGUGCCAGCAGCCGCGGUAAUACGUAGGGGGCAAGCGUUAUCCGGAUUUACUGGGUGUAAAGGGAGCGUAGACGGUUUGGCAAGUCUGAAGUGAAAUGCGGGGGCUCAACUCCUGAACUGCUUUGGAAACUGUCGAACUAGAGUGCAGGAGAGGUAAGUGGAAUUCCUAGUGUAGCGGUGAAAUGCGUAGAUAUUAGGAGGAACACCAGUGGCGAAGGCGGCUUACUGGACUGUAACUGACGUUGAGGCUCGAAAGCGUGGGGAGCAAACAGGAUUAGAUACCCUGGUA
rnacentral:rRNA from 1 species